CCCCGCCCCUCCCGGGGGUCCCCGCCGCACCCCCUCCCUGCCGGGGGUCGCCCUGCUCGGAGCAGCCGCGCGGAGACUGCGCGGCCUCCGCCUCCGUGCGCUCGCAGUCGUCGCUCCUCGCCCGCCUUUGUUCUCGGACCGCCCCUCUCGCUGGCGACGCUCCGAGAGAGCCGCGGAGCCACCUGCCAGGGCCGCGCUUCCCCGAGCAUCCAAAGCUGUCCCCGCGGGCUGUCGACGCCCGCGCCGGAGCGUGCGGGAGGCACAGCGGGAAGAAGUCGCUGAGAUUUGGCCCUCGCGGCUUUGCGUUCCCGCGUGGUUGAUGCCUCCGCCAAGAACGCGGUCGGCCGGGAGCCGGGGAGGAGCCUGGACGCCGGCCUGGCAGGUACCCCCGCGAGAACGUGGGAGCCGGUGGAUUUCAGAUGCAUUUAUUACUGAUCUCGGGCUGCAUCAGGGCACUUCUAGGACCGCACUGAAAACAGCGGGAAGUGAGGAGCCGAGCCUGGGUCCGGGGCGGCCCGCCGUACAGCCGGCCUGCGUCUCCAGAUGACUUGUUCUGGAGAGUAAAAAAUGCUCUCGGAUUUAAAGUACAAUCCUGUCUCCUUUCCAUUCAUUAGUGUUGCCUACACUCAGCAAACGAAAGUUGGGAAAGAUGAAGGGAUUAUUUCUAGCGCAUCACAUUGACAAACACCGACGUGAACACGCCCAGUCCAGCCUGGCUCACUUGCCUCAGGUCGGAGAGGUCACCACUGACAACGCCUGGCCUUCAAGCCACUCCUAAUCCAGCUUCGUUCUCUCCGCCGCAGCCAGACCAGCCCUACUGCCCUCCGCCUCAACUCGCGCAGGUGUAAGCUUCCGCUGCACUCCUUGUCUGAAUCUGCCCAGAAGAAACUGCAUCUUUCAGCUAAAUACUUUUCACUGAUAAGGGCCCUCCAGUCAGAUUCUCUGGAUAGAGUUUAGCGUUUUGGUUUUUUUGUGUUUUUUUUAAAAAAAAAAAAAAAAAUCUUCAGCUAUUUGGUACUCCUUUCCCUCCGGGAUUCUGUCUCUGGAUUGUGAAAGCUGGCAGAAGAUGGAGUCAGGGAAAGCCAUGAUGGGAAGGUGCUCACUAAUAACUGCCUGAUAUAAAUAAUUGGCACAAAAGACUGCCAAAACCACAACCUUGCACAAAGGCCACAAAACUACACAAAAAAAUGCUUCAAGGACAUUUGCACUGCAACUGCCUGUCCAACCUUGGACUGGCCAUCCCCUUUGUUACUUAUCUUUGUAGCCAAGGAUAAUUGUUUCAAAACAACUUACGUGAUCUCGUUUUUCCUUUUUAAACCCCUUGUCUUCCUUUGCCUCCCUGAAUACACCUAUAGUUUAACACCGUAUUCUACAUUGCAAUGCCCACUCUCGAAUAAAUUUGUCAUGUUUGGCAAACCUGCCUCUUACUUAGGUUGACAAAUUCAAAUGCAAAUUUAUUCCGGAGUCAACAAAUACUGAUUCAGUCUUCCAAUGUGCAAGGCAAGGAAGAAUAUUAAGGAGGCACUGUAUAGAUUAGAUCCCUGCCUAUAGGCAGCUUCAACACUAAUACAAUAUGGUACGAAUAUACAAUUGUACUUUAAGGCAGCGUAGGUGGGAAAACAACUAGCAACUAAAAAAAAAAAUGGAGUUUACUACCAACUAAAAAAGUGGAGGUUUCAAGGUUGACAUAGAAUUUGAAAACUGCUUUAAAGACAGGUAGGAAAGAUACAGGUAGAUGUGCAAUGGAAGUAGACAUUGGGUUUCAAGCCCCAAACUGGCUGAGGGGUGGUAAAAUAGACAUAUUCAGGUACAUUAAUCAUUCCAGUUUGGCAUAAGAAUAAGGUAAAUGAAGAUGGAUUCUAGGAGUUAAGGAUGAAAUAUGUAGGGAGGUACUAUGAGGUAAUGGAGAGAACAAAGAUUUAGAGUUAAGACUUUGGUUUGAAUCCCAGCAGUGCCACUUAUUAGCUAUGUGAUCAAAGGUAAAUUAGUUAAUCUCUCUGACCCUCCAUUUCCUCAUUUGUAUAACAAUAAUGUCCAAUUAUUCCACAAAUAUUUUAUGGAAAGCCAAGUAUUAACUAAGAACUAUGUUCAAUGAUGAAGAUAUAAAAAACCAUUUAUUCAUUCAUUCAUCAAAUACUGCCUUACCGUUUACUGAGUUAGGCCCUGGAAAUACGGUAAUAAGGGGG